GGUGGAAAGGCACUUAGGGAGAACAGACCAUGGAACUUCACAGAGGAAAGAAGAAAGGAAGGAAGAAGGAAGCAAGGAAAGCUGAAAUCAAGCCCAGACAGACAAGAGCUGUUUUGAAUGUGUUCCUGGAUGGUAUAUGUACAUAUGUGGCAGAGUAUGUAAAAUAUGUGAGAGUGCCCUCCAAGGCAAGAGGACAUUGGAUCCCCAGUGAUCCUCUGGUUUUAGGGUGUUGGGAGCCCUGGGUCUUGUGGAAGAGCAGUAAGUGCUCUUAACCACUGAAUCAUCUCUCCAGCGUGAAUUUUUAAAUUCUCUCUAGAGUGAAUUUUUAACCAUG
rnacentral:lncRNA from 1 species